GGGCCCAUAGCUCAGCGGCAGAGCGCCGCCUUUGCAAGGCGGAAGCCGAGGGUUCAAAUCCCUCUGGGUCCA
rnacentral:tRNA from 1 species